rnacentral:rRNA from 1 species
UCCUACGGGGGGCAGCAGUGAGGAAUAUUGGUCAAUGGUCGGGAGACUGAACCAGCCAAGCCGCGUGAGGGAUGAAGGUACAGAGUAUCGUGAACCUCUUUUGUCAGGGAACAAAGGCGGGGACGUGUCCCCGGAUGAGUGUACCUGAAGAAAAAGCAUCGGCUAACUCCGUGCCAGCAGCCGCGGUAAUACGGAGGAUGCGAGCGUUAUCCGGAUUUAUUGGGUUUAAAGGGUGCGCAGGCGGUCUGUUAAGUCAGCGGUCAAAGCCCGGGGCUCAACCCCGGCCCGCCGUUGAAACUGGCAGG